GUGGUGAUAUGGAUUCUUUCAUUCAUUGAGGGCUGCUACAUAUGGUUGGGCAGGUUGUGCACUGCACAAAGGGGUCUGGCUAAGAGGCUGGAAUUCAGCUGGGCUCUCCUUCCUAAGGCAUGCUGGUGGGGCUGCAUCCAUCUGCAGGAAGGGGCACCCUUUUGAAACAUACACAAGGGUACCGUCUGCCUGCUAAAUCAUAGAUGCUGGGGAGCUGCCUUGGGCCAGGAGAGCCUUUGUGUCGUCUGCCCCACAGGGGCUAGCAGUUUGUCUGCUCAGUUCCCAUGCUGUGCCAAGCCUUCAGCACAGCACAAUUUCUCCCUUGGCCAACAGAGUCCCAAUAUCUCUUCCAACUGCACACAAAUGUGCAUGCCCAGGGAGACACAGCUCCAGGCCAUUGACAACUCCGGGGAGUGAAGCAGGUGGAGAAGUGGUAUACAUCCCCUCAGACCCAGCAACACACCCAGACGCAGCACACACACACACACACACACACACACAUGGCUCCUCUACCAUUGGGGAUCCCAUAGCCUCCUGCCCCUGCCCCAUACCUCUUGACAUAGUUGCUGAUCCAGACACAAGGAUACAGGGGAUCAGUUCUUCCUUUAUCUCACACAAAACUCUGCACAGACACACAACAGAGCUUGUAUACACAGUGACCCAGAACACAGGACAUCCACACAGUGUCCCAGACACAACACACAAUGACACCCAAUAUCAUCCUGGUGGCACACCUGAGCCUCCUCCCCACAUACAUGGACAUGCACAGAGCUCCAUGUUGACACACAAUCAUGCCUUUUUGGGCAUUCCCACCCACAGUACACAAGACCCAGAUACAAUCUUAGACAUCCUGACACACCAGGACCACACACAACUCCAGAACAUGGCCAGGGGCCUACCCCAGCUGGCUGCACAUGGACACGCCAUGGCACACAUCACAACCCACCUCAUGCAACCAUGGGCACACACACCAGUGGGAACUGAGCUUUGUUGAGUCUGGAAGUAGGCAUGUGACCCUCCACAAGACACGCCCAGAUAGCCCCGCCCCCACUCCACCCCUACCCUUCCCCAACCCCGAUCUCACACAUCCAAAGGCAUUGUCCUCCUCCAUGGCUGGAGAGAAAUGGCCUCCCAACCCCAAUCUCCUCCCUCCCGCAC
rnacentral:lncRNA from 1 species